AAAGCAAUUAAUGUUUAAUUUCUCAAAAUUUACUAUCAAUUACAAAGUUUCAUCCUUAUAACAUACCUUACUAAGUAUUCGUUUUACACUUUAUUUGCAUCUAUGAUUAAAUUUACGGUUGCAUUUAUGCUUAUAUUUUUAUUGAAUAGUUUAUGCUUAUUUCCAUACAAACCUAUCAUACUGUUUAUGCAUAUAUGUAAUUGUAAGUGGUUGAGAAUAAGUGAUUUUUUUUUUUAAAUCUUUUUGCGUAUUUUUUGUUUUUUUACGAACUAAUGCGUGCUUUUUUAAGUGUGUAUGUUGUAGUGUUUUUUGAAUACUUUAAUUGCUUUUUGGGGCAAGAAAUCACUCCAAUAGAAAGUUUAAGGGUUCGGAAGGGAAAACAAAACACUUUCAUUUUUUUUUAAAAGUAACUGCUAGAUGAGUAUCUUCGUAUUUUCGACUUAUAAGUACUUAGUAAAAUUACGAGAGAUUACAUAUCGCUACCUAAAGGUGAAAAGGUGCCCAGUCCACGUUUUUUCCAAAAUUUAGUCUUUGAUGUAGAGCGACGGAAAAGGCCGAAACUACAGCGAUUUUUUGUCUCUUUGCAUCUUUUCACGUUUAGGCAACGAUAUGUACUUUGAUCUUGAAGUUUUUUGUUUUUCGUUCAUAUUUUAAUUAAUUCAUUUGGCUUGGAUUACAUUAAAGUUACUUUGAAUAGUGGUGGCUGACAAGCUUUCAAUAGCUAAAUAUGUGUGUUUGAGAUUUAUAUACUUUUAUAUUUAGUUUUAAAACCAAAGUUGCUUAUUAGAAAUAGUUUGCUUAGUGCAGCUUGUAAUAUACAUAUAUGUAUUUGAUUUGAUGUGGCAAAGUUUUUUGAGUAGACGAAAGCCUUAAUUUGAGCAAAAUAUUUAAUUAGGGGUAUUCCCUUAAACGGCAUAAAACCGCGAAAACCUUAAAAGUCUUACAACCGUUGGCGAAAAUUUUCCACGAAAUAAAUAUUUGAGUUCGGAGUUUUCCAGUCUUACGUCUUUAAGAGAAUUCCCCAAUCGUUUUGAAGAAAAAAAAAAA